AUAGUAUAGUAUAGUAUAGUAUAGUAUAUAUUAUAGUAAAGUGUAAUCGUUUGGCUUAGCCAGCUGGCAGCUUGCUAGAGACCAGCUGUAAAAGGAAAAGGACAAUGUUUUGAGCAUUCUAGGACUGUGGUUCUCUCUGCUCCCCACCCUGCAACCUGCAAGAAGUGAUGGAAAAGUUACGUAAAAAUAAGAAAAUGCAUGUUUUCCCCCACAUUACCACUGGGACUUCAUACACAGCAGCUUAAGAUAAAUGUAAUCAGUAAGAGGCAAGAGAAUAUUAUUUGUAACACCCACAUAUAUAUAAUUGGUUCUGAGUUAUGGGAGGUGAUGCCUUAGAAUAGUGGUUUUAAACCUGUGUUCCAAGGAAUCCUUGCACUCCCAUCUGUUCUGCUUCAGUAUAAUGACCAAUCUCUGCCCCCUGAAAACUAAAGUUGUGAGAGCGUGUUGUUUGCUGUAAUGCACACACUCAUUUGAUGCAGUGCAACAGCUACCACAUAGUCUCAUGCGCGCAACCCAGAACAUAAUUCCAGCAUGAAUAGGUCCCACAGCAGGUGAAAAAAGUUCCCUGAAAGCUGUAAGUUUGAAAUCCACUGCUGCUUAGACUAUUGGUGCUUGUGAUUUAUAAUGCAUAAUAAAUUAAGCAGUGAGGGGGGAGGAAGCAGAAAAACGCAACAAGUUGUAAAAUAAUAUUUUCAUGUUUUAGGCACAAAAUUUAUAAAGCCAAAGUACCUACUUUUCUCAAACAGGGUAUGAAUGUUCAGCAAAAGAAUGUAUUUUUCAUGCUGUAAGGCUGUGCUUAGACUGUGGCACAAUUCUUAAGGCACAUUCGUCGAAGUAGGGAAAUUGUAUUAAAACAUUCUGCAACAUUUGGUUCAGUUACUGGUGCAUUAACAAAUAUUUGGUGCAUCAGCACAAAAUCACAAACCAAAAGCAUUAAAAUAAUGUGCAGAUAAUACAUGUGCAAAUACUUUAGAUUAGGAUAUUAAAAGUUUAGCAAUGCUCUCAUGAUACCAUUUGAUUGCAUAUCUCCCAGGCAGGACCAGCCUUUGGCUCUUCAGAUUCUUGAAGAGUUUCCUUACUUCCUAGUAGUGUUCAUAGAGUUAGACCAUAAAUCCUUGCUAUUUAUGUUAUUAGUUAAAAUAAUUCUGCAAUCCUAUGCUUACUUGAGAGAAAAUUGCAUUGAAGAGAGUGGAACUUACUUCUGAGUAAACAUGCAGGGAAUCAACAGUAUGCUUCUUGCUUCCUAGAUCUACCUAAAUUAGAAAAUUCUCCACUUCAGUCAAGUGGGUAAUCCUAAUAACUUGAAGAACCACUCAAGCAAAUAUUAAGUACCUUUGCAAAUAUGUUUAGUAUAUAGGAUUCUAUUUUUUCAUAAAAAGUUACAUUGUUUUGCAGUUAUUUAUAUACCUAGUAGAACUUGAAGCUAUACUGUUGCAUUAAGCAUUUUUGCCUUUUGUCAGAACUGCAACAAGCUGGUUUCAGUUGCAGUUUAUCUUUAGAAUUUUUUUUAUCAUUGCAAUGGUUUUGCUUUGAAUUACUUUAACAUUAUAAUAUGUAAAGCACCAAAGGUCUAGCUGUUUUUCGUUAAUAAAGUUGCAUAUUUAAGCAAAUACCAUGUUUAUAUUCCAUAUUGUUAUAGCGUGAACACAGAUAUCUCUGUACUCUUUAAAUGAAUGUACAUAUCUAUAGCAACAGAACUAAAAUACUAUGCGAAGUUCUCUCACAGCUCUGGAUUCAAAAUUUGCUCUUUUUCUGGGUGCAAGCUAUUUUCAUCUUUUUCCUGAAGCAGUAAAAGAUAAUAAUGAAGAGAGAACAUUUUACAGAGGGUGGAAACACUAUAGAAUAUAGAUGAAUGCAGUUGUCUGAAACAACUACUAGUAAAGGGUUUGGCCAGAAAAUAAAGAGAAAGGUACAAUCUACCUUUUACUCUUUUUUAUAGUAAACUUCUGGUGCUGUUACUGAGACUAGAUGGUUUUAUUCGCAAUUGUAUUUCUGGGUUUUAAAAAAUGCAGUUGAACAUAAAAUGAAUGCUCAUCAAUAUAUCUUAUGGCAAGAUUGCACUAGAAAUUAUGCUGGUAUUGGUUUUAAAAUAGGUACAGUUUGUUUUAACUAAAAA